GCAAGUCGAUUCGAUUUACCUUCGGGUAUUGAGGAUGGCGGACGGGUGACUAUUGCGUAAGGAACUUGCCUCUUGGACUGGGACAACUGUUCUAAACGACAGCUAAUACCGGAUAUUAUGAGAUUCUCGCAUGAGAAACUUAUGAAAGCUAUAUGCGCCAAGAGAGAGCCUUGCGUUCCAUUAGCUAGUUGGUGGGGUAAUGGCCCACCAAGGCGACGAUGGAUAGCCGGCCUGAGAGGGUGAACGGCCACAAGGGGACUGAGACACGGCCCUUACUCCUACGGGAGGCAGCAGUGGGGAAUAUUGGACAAUGGGCCACAAGCCUGAUCCAGCAAUUCUGUGUGCACGAUGAAGGUCUUCGGAUUGUAAAGUGCUUUCAGUUGGGAAGAAGAAAGUGACGGUACCAACAGAAGAAGCGACGGCUAAAUACGUGCCAGCAGCCGCGGUAAUACGUAUGUCGCAAGCGUUAUCCGGAUUUAUUGGGCGUAAAGCGCGUCUAGGCGGAAAAAUAAGUCUGAUGUUAAAAUGCGGGGCUCAACUCCGUAUUGCGUUGGAAACUGUUUUUCUAGAGUACUGGAGAGGUGGGCGGAACUACUAGUGUAGAGGUGAAAUUCGUAGAUAUUUGUAGGAAUGCCGAUGGAGAAGUCAGCUCACUGGACAGAUACUGACGCUGAAGCGCGAAAGC
rnacentral:rRNA from 1 species